rnacentral:rRNA from 1 species
UACAGAGGUGGCAAGCGUUGUUCGGAAUUACUGGGCGUAAAGGGCGCGUAGGCGGUCUUGCAAGUCCUGUGUGAAAUCCCUCGGCUCAACUGAGGAACUGCACAGGAAACUGCUUGGCUUGAGUUCGGGAGAGGGAAGCGGAAUUCCGGGUGUAGUGGUGAAAUGCGUAGAGAUCCGGAGGAACACCAGUGGCGAAGGCGACACGCUGGGCCGUACCUGACACUGAUGCGCGACAGCAUGGGGAGCAAACAGG